rnacentral:tRNA from 2 species
CAAAUUAGAGCUUGAGAAAGUAUUUCAUUUACAUUGAAAAGAAAUUAAAAUUUAAUUAAUUUGA